rnacentral:rRNA from 1 species
UGAGGAAUUUUGCGCAAUGGCCGCAAGGCUGACGCAGCAACGCCGCGUGGGUGAAGAAGGCCUUCGGGUCGUAAAGCCCUGUCAGGUGGGAAGAACACCAUGGGGACGAACAAGCUUCAUGGCUGACGGUACCACCAGAGGAAGCACCGGCUAACUCCGUGCCAGCAGCCGCGGUAAUACGGAGGGUGCGAGCGUUAUUCGGAAUUACUGGGCGUAAAGCGCGUGCAGGCGGGAAGACAAGUCUGAUGUGAAAGCCCCGGGCUUAACCUGGGAAGUGCAUUGGAAACUGUGGGACUUGAGUACUGGAGAGGAUGGGGGAAUUCCCGGUGUAGAGGUGAAAUUCGUAGAGAUCGGGAGGAAUAUCAGUUGCGAAGGCGCCCAUCUGGACGGUAACUGACGCUGAGACGCGAAAGCGUGGGGAGCAAACA